rnacentral:tRNA from 1 species
GGUGCGGUGUAAAGGCGGUAUGGCUGUAAGUCUUUGAUUUUAGGAUGGAAUAUGGCCUGCAAAGCCGUCUAGGUCGGUUCGACUCCUAUCCGCGCCUCCA